UAUAGACUGCCUUGGCUGCCAAACUUCAAAUGAAGGCAUCUGAAAAUCUAGUUCCUUCAUAUCAUAUACUACUGAAGUGUCACUUACCUCUCCUGCUUUAUGAUGGUGACAAUUACGAGAGUUAUGUCAUAUUCGGAUUCUCCAUGAGGUGCAGUCAAGUUCUGUGAAAAAGAUACAAAAAUGCCUGAAAGAGUUAAUUGGUGUGGAUGCUGAGCUUCGUCUGCACCACCCAGAGUUCUUCCAGAAGCUCUUCUGCUUGACACAGCAGCACCUGACAGUCCUGCAGAGCACAGGCCAAGGGCAACCCACCACUGAGAAUGACAACGGAAAGCCAUCAGGGAUGUCACUCCUCAAAGGACAACUCCUGUUGCUCCUCACAAGUCCUGAGAUGUCAGACAAGGGUUCCUCAGCACCAAGCCUUGCCUCCUCUGGAGCCACGCGAGCCCUUUGGGGUGUGAUUUCUGGGUCUCUGUUUCUUCAUAACCAGGUGACGGCGGUGCAGAAACGGGGUCUCUGCUUGCCAUGUUGGUGGGAGCUGUGGUGGAUCUCCAGCAGAGAAACCCCAGUGGAGGAAAGCAGCUCCUCAACAGCCAUCUGUCACCUAGCCAUGUGUGCACACUGCUUCAUGAGGAAGGCACAGCCACGGGCAGAUACUCGCUCAGCUUCUCCACCAUCUUCUGAAAGAAAGGGAACAGCACACAUGUGAAAACGGCCUGGAAAAAAAUGGUGUGGCUUCUGGAUGAGGAUUUAACAGAAGGCAAACUGGAGUAGUUAUGGAAAUGGGAAAAUGUUUAUAGGGUGGUCUGAAAUGAGGCCCUCAAAAAUGAUAGAAGAGACCUGCAGAUGUUUAUAUCACCAUAUGCUCGACCUCAUGAGUUCUGACAUUGUUUCUUGAUUACAUGUUCCCAUCCUGUCCCUCUACAAAACCUGUGACUGAGUGCAGCUGGGGCUGCCCUUGGGGGGGACGUGGAGGUGGAAGGUGACACGGCCACCUCCCCUCACCCCAAGAGCCAGGAAGAGGCAUGAGGAGCACGGCAGGGAUCUGCUGGAGGAGGGAACCAUCCAGGAAUCACACGGGAGAAUCACAGAAUCAUAGGAUUGUCUCAGUUGGAAGGGACCUUUCAGAUCAUGGAGUCCAACCAUCAACCCAACACUGACCAAACCACCCAUCGUCUGCCUGGAUUUUAAAUACCUCCAGGGUGCUGGGGGGCUCUCCCCACCCUGAGCUGGGGACGACAAAGGCAACUGGGAGGAAACCUUCUGCUCCUCCUGCUGGGACAGCCCGGUGCUGGGACAAAGCUGCCACCCAUUUCACUGGAAACACACA
rnacentral:lncRNA from 1 species